GUGUGCGGCGGAAACCCUAAUAAUUAUAUUUGGCUAUCUAUCUAUACUUUUUAUCUAUAAAUAUAUCCAUCAAUAAUUGAAUGUCAUUGUGUUGAUUUGCCUACUUGUAUCUUUAAGAUUUAUUUUUCCCAGGUACACGAUCAAUAUUUCUCGAUUCUUCUUCUUCUUCGAAGUGGAGAUUGCCGUGACGACUACGGAUAUUCAAGCUCAACAGACCGGAUCACAGAUCUGUCUUCGUGGGAUUUGUAUGUCGACCACCCCGCUGACCUGAGCAAUCUCCAUUAGAUGUAUCUUUUUGUCGUAUAUGAUUUCUGAUUUUUUUUCUUUCGAUUUUGGGUUACCGGUCUCUUCCCUCGAUGUCGUAUUCUUCACUUCAUUGAUCAACCGGUGCCUUUUUUUUUCUCACAAAUAUAUAUUCUUCAUCAUUGCCAAAAAAGUUUAUACAUUGUUUAGUUGAUCUUUUCCUUUAAUCUAUAUCUAUGAAAUUGGAGAAUGAUGGGAUGAGGAUAAGAGAGCUCCCUCUUCUGAAAUACACAUUGAGGAUGCUCGCUGGAAGAAUCGAACCAUUAACAAAUAUGCCACCACUGAGCCUUUGUUCUUCUUGUAUUGUUUUCUUUCUUGUUUUUUUUUGUCAAAAUUUUUAUAUGUUUUACAAGUCCAUUAUAAGGACGAAGUAAAAUCUCGAAUUAUUCAUCCUUUGAUCUGAGUAUCUAUGAUCCAAAUGAUGCUUUCUCUUUAUUUAUGAAUCAUUAUCUGUUUGUAAAUUCAAUUCAAUUUUUAAACUACGGUCUUGUUUGCCAAUUUUUAAUUGCAAUUUUGUUAUUUGAUGAAAGCAUACAUUUUUUCUUAGGGCACUUUACUACACAGCCUAGUUUUAGGUUGUGGAUGAGAAUAAUACUCUCAUGCUGAUGAAUGUGCCUCUCUAUUUAUUGUUUGUUAGUCAUUUUACUAAAUUUUUUUGAUUUUUUUCUUACUAAUUAGCUUAUGAUGAUUGCUAUUUGUGUUGGAAUUACCGACUGAUGUGGUUAAAACCAUCAUGAAGCAUAUCAUCUGGCUUUCUGAAGCUUUUAUUUUUCCAUCUUUUUGUAUUGAUAUUUUUUUUUCAUUAAAGCAAAUUGUUGUUUUGUUGAAUUUAUAACUCUAUCUGCAUUGAAUUUCUUUAUGUUUGAAAUCCUGAUGAGGAUGACGAAGCCUCUUGAUAGGAAGUACCGUAUGACACUUUAAACAACAUUUGUGCCAACCAGUUUCUUGCACUUUUCUCUUCAUUUGCUCCACUCAAGUUCUGAAAGAAUUGGGCUGUAGUGUAUGUCAAAUGAUUAGUGUAAAUUGACUGGAACCGGUCAUGAUUGUGUGUGUGAGAGAUUUUAAACGGGUCUUUGAGGGUUCCACGGCUUUAAUGUUUUUUUGACUAUUAUCCUCUAGACCUGUUGCACGUGUUCAGUAGCUUAUGCAGCGAUUGAUGGUGCUAUUGUCAGGCCAAUCAAAGUCCUUUAUUGGCUUUUCGUUUGCUGAUAGGAAUCUGUCAAAAAUUUUUAAUUUAUCCAUGGUGCCGUCAUAUGCUCCAUAUUAUCUGAAGCAUAGAUUUCAUGUUUAAUAUUUUAGUUGUUUAGAUACUACUGCAUAUUUCAGUUUCACUAUACCAUUCUUGUUUUUUUUAUUGUUACUAAAUUGUGUUUAUUUUGGUUUAAGUUAUGCAAGUGAUGAGAAACAUAGACAGGGACAUCUGCACUCUUCAAGAGGUUGAUGAUUAGUUCUAUGGUAAAUGGGAAUCUCUCUGAUGCAAUAUUUUAUUUUUUUUUAACGUUGAGUUUGUAAUUUUUGUAAUUAAUUUAUUCUUAGAUAACGAUGCUUUUCUUGUCACUGCCAUUAAGUCCUUAUGUCAUGCUCUGAGACUUUUCUUUGCACAGAAAUUUGUAUUUUGAUAUUUUUGUUUUGGUAUGUUUAUUCAUUUUUUAUUAUUCUGACUCCUAUGAUGAUUAAAUAAAAAUUUUAGUUCUUCCUAGGUGGCAAAUCAUGCGGAAUAAACACGGAGACCUGAACUGAUGAGUAUUUUUUAAUUUUAAUUUCCGCUCUAAUUUGUGACAGAUUAUUUCUCUGGUUUACUUAUUUGAUGGUGUCAAUGAUUCAUGGAAUGUCAUUAUGUUGUUUUACCUAUUCAUUAUUUAGAUCUAUUAGAUUUAUUUUGCCCAGGUAGAUAAUCAAUACUUUUAUGUUUGCCUUCGCUUUAAUUCCGAAUCAUAUUCUAUUUGUAAUUUAUAUUUUUAAAUUUCGGUUAUGUUUUCCAUUUUAUUAAUAUUUGCAAAUUUGUCAUGAUGAAAGCAUGAAUAUUAUCUUAGGACACCUUCCUACACAGCCUAGUUUUAGGCUGUGGAUGAGAAUAUUACGUUCAUGCUGAUGAAUGGCUCUAUGUAUUGUUUUUUUUCCCUUCAUAUUAGCUUAUGCCGAUGGCUAUCUGUUUAUUAGUCACCUGGCUUUCUGAACUUGUAUUUCUAUCUUCUCUUUGAUUUGUUAUUUUUUUUUAAAACUCAAUCUGCAUUUCUUAACUCAAUCUUCAUUGAAAUUCAUUAUGUUUGAAAUCCCAAUGAGGAUGAUAAGACCUUGAUAGGAAGUGCCGUAUGACACUUAAGCAGCAGCUGUGCCAACCAGUUACUUGCAGUUUUCUCUGCAUUUGCUCCACUCAAAUUCUGUAAGAACUGAGCUGUAGUGUAGUGUAUGUCAAAUGAUUAGUGUAGAUCAACUGGAACUGGUCAUAGUUGUUUGUGUGAUUUUAAAUGGGUCUCUGAGGGUUCCACGAGUUAAAGUUUUUCAACUAUUAUUCUCUAGACUUGAUGCCACAUCUUCAGUAGCUGUUUCAUUGAUUGAUGGGGCUAUUGUCAGGCCAAUAAAAGUCCUUUAUUGGCUUUUCGUUGGCUGAUUGGAAUCGUUGGAAAAGUUUUUAUUUAUCCAUGGUGCUGUUUAUGUCAAUUACAUUUGCUCCGUUUUACUUGAAGCAUAAAUUUCAUGUUUAAUAUUUUAGUUGUUUAGAUACGACUGCAUAUUUCAGUUUCACUUUUUCAUCCUUGUUUUUGGUUAUUGUCACUAAAUUGUGUUUAUAUUGGUUUAAGUUAUGCAAGUGAUGAGAAACAUAGACAGGGACAUCUGCACUCUUCCAAGAGGUUGAUGACUAGUUCUAUGGUAAAUGGGAAUCUCUCUGAUGCAAUAUUUUGUAUGAUUGUAUUUUGAAACGUUUUUUUGAUGACUAGUUCUUCCUAGGUGGCAAACAAUGCGGAAUAAACACAGAUACAUGAACUGAGGUGUAUUUUUUUAAUUUUAAUUUCCGCUCUAAUUUCUUACAGAUUGUUUCUCUGGUUUACUAAGUUGAAUAGUUCUUUCUAAAGGUUUGGAAUUAUAAGUAUUUUUUGUCUUUAUUUGAUGGUGUCUAUGAUUCAUGCAAUGCCAUUGUGUUGUUUUGCCUAUUCGUUCUUUAGAUCUGUUAGAUGUAUUUUGUCCAGGUACAAUCAAUAUUUCUUGAUUCGUCUUCAAAGUGGAGAUUGCCAUGACGGCUAUGGAAAUUCAAGCAAACUCUCACUGAGGAUUUGUUUAAGUGGCAUACGCUGCGGAAUAAAUAUAGAGAGCUAAACUGAGGAGUGAUUUUUUAAAUUUAAUUUUCACUUUGUUUUGUUAUAGAUUCGACUGGUUUACUAUGUUGGACGAUUCGUUCGAUAAUUUUCACUUUGAUUUGUUAUAGAUUCGACUGGUUUACUAUGUUGGACGAUUCGUUCGAAAGGUUUGGAUGUUUUUUUUCUUCUUUGUUUGAUGGUGCCAAUGAUUCUUAUAAAUAUACUUUGAGGAAUCCCUAUGAAAAGUUCUUAAUCUGAGGCACUGUUAAAAUAGUUUUUUUGUAUAUUAAAGUGGUUAAUGUCAAUUCCUAUUUUAUAUUUUCUUCUUUGUUUGAUGGUGCCAAUGAUUCUUAUAAAUAUACUUUGAGGAAUCCCUAUGAAAAGUUUGUCAAAAGAUUAUUUGUCAUUGAAAUUUUGCUUUGUUUAUGAAAAGGUACCUAUUGAGAUCAUGUCAGGGGUGAUCAUGUCAUUGGCAUCAUAUGCAUGAUGUAUUUAUUGUUUGUUUUUGCUGCAUUUACUUGUUGUAUUUAUAUGAAUUCAUAUGAUUGACAUGCAUACAGGAUUAUGACACCCUCGGUUUGACGACCCUAUUACCUUUUUACCUUGAUCCUGUUGUACCUGCUGAGUGUUGGACUCACCCCGCCUUCAUUGUUGUUAUAUUUUCAAGUUGAGGCAGUCCGGAGCAAUUCCAGUCGUUAGUCCCCUUCUGCACGUAGUGCUAGUCCUUUGCUGAUAUGAGGCGAUCUACGCGUAUUGCUGCGAGACGUGGUGCUGGACGACCACGUACGAGGACCGC